rnacentral:rRNA from 1 species
GACGAACGCUGGCGGCGUGCCUAAUACAUGCAAGUAGAACGCUGAAGAGAGGAGCUUGCUCUUCUUGGAUGAGUUGCGAACGGGUGAGUAACGCGUAGGUAACCUGCCUUGUAGCGGGGGAUAACUAUUGGAAACGAUAGCUAAUACCGCAUAACAAUGGAUGACACAUGUCAUUUUAUUGAAAGGGGCAAUUGCUCCACUACAAGAUGGACCUGCGUUGUAUUAGCUAGUAGGUAAGGUAAUGGCUCACCUAGGCAACGAAGCAUAGCCGACCGGAGAGGGUGACCGGCCACACGGGAACUGAGCACCGGCCCAGACUCCAAGGGGAGGAGGAGUAAGGGAAUUUCGGGCAAUGGGGCAAACCCGACCGGACAACGCCGGCUGAAUGAAGGAGGGUUUUCGAUCCUAAAACUCCGUUGUAAGUCAAGAACGGAUGUGAGAGUGGAAAGUUCACACUGUGACGGUAGCUUACCAGAAAGGGACGGCUAACUACGUG